GGUGGCUCAAUGGUAGAGUGCUUGCCUUACAUGCAUGAGUCCCUGAGUUUGAUUCCUCAGCACCA
rnacentral:tRNA from 1 species